GACGAACCGUGCGAACGUUGUUCGGAAUCACUGGGCUUAAAGGGCGCGUAGGCGGGUCUUCAAGUCCGGGGUGAAAGCCCCCAGCUUAACUGGGGAAGUGCCUUGGAUACUGAUGGUCUUGAGGGGGGUAGGGGCAGUGGGAACUUCCGGUGGAGUGGUGAAAUGCGUUGAUAUCGGAAGGAACGCCGGUGGCGAAAGCGCACUGCUGGACCUUUUCUGACGCUGAGGCGCGAAAGCCAGGGGAGCAAACGGGAUUAGAUACCCCGGUAGUCCUGGCCCUAAACGAUGGGUACUAGAUAGUAGACUGGACAUGGGUUUACUGUCGAAGCCAAAGUGCUAAGUACCCCGCCUGGGGAGUAUGGUCGCAAGGCUGAA
rnacentral:rRNA from 1 species